rnacentral:rRNA from 1 species
GAUGAACGCUGGCGGCGUGCCUAAUACAUGCAAGUAGAACGCUGAAGCUUGGUGCUUGCACCGAGCGGAUGAGUUGCGAACGGGUGAGUAACGCGUAGGUAACCUGCCUCUUAGCGGGGGAUAACUAUUGGAAACGAUAGCUAAUACCGCAUAAAAGUCGAUAUCGCAUGAUAUUGAUUUGAAAGGUGCAAAUGCAUCACUAAGAGAUGGACCUGCGUUGUAUUAGCUAGUUGGUGAGGUAACGGCUCACCAAGGCGACGAUACAUAGCCGACCUGAGAGGGUGAUCGGCCACACUGGGACUGAGACACGGCCCAGACUCCUUCGGGAGGCAGCAGUAGGGAAUCUUCGGCAAUGGGGGCAACCCUGACCGAGCAACGCCGCGUGAGUGAAGAAGGUUUUCGGAUCGUAAAGCUCUGUUGUAAGAGAAGAACGAGUGUGAGAGUGGAAAGUUCACACUGUGACGGUAACUUACCAGAAAGGGACGGCUAACUACGUG